rnacentral:misc_RNA from 1 species
AAGUCGUAACAAGGUUUCCGUAGGUGAACCUGCGGAAGGAUCAUUAAGAAAAAUCUUUCUUAUAUUUUGCCUUCUCUCUCUUCCUCGCGAAGGGGGUAGGCAAAUAUAUAUCCACCUUUUGUGCACUUGACCAACUGUUCACCUUUGGCAAAAAACUUGAUGGGCUUUCGUUUGAUUGAUCGUCUUUUUGCCAAAGGAUUCUAUAUUAUUAUAAACACCCUAGAAAUACUUUAGCCUGAAAAUUAUUAGAGGAAAUGGUAUUCACGUACCACUUCUGAUUUCUGAAUAAAAAAACAACUUUUAACAACGGAUCUCUUGGCUCUU